UUGAACGCUGGCGGCAUGCCUUACACAUGCAAGUCGGACGGCAGCACGGGGGCGACCCUGGUGGCGAGUGGCGAACGGGUGAGUAACGCAUCGGAACGUACCCGGAAGUGGGGGAUAACGUAGCGAAAGUUACGCUAAUACCGCAUAUUCUGUGAGCAGGAAAGAGGGGGAUCGCAAGACCUCUCGCUUCCGGAGCGGCCGAUGUCGGAUUAGCUAGUUGGCGGGGUAAAGGCCCACCAAGGCGACGAUCAGUAGCUGGUCUGAGAGGAUGAUCAGCCACACUGGAACUGAGACACGGUCCAGACUCCUACGGGAGGCAGCAGUGGGGAAUUUUGGACAAUGGGGGAAACCCUGAUCCAGCCAUUCCGCGUGAGUGAAGAAGGCCUUCGGGUUGUAAAGCUCUUUCGGCAGGAACGAAACGGCGGGAUCUAAUACAUUCCACUAAUGACGGUACCUGAAGAAGAAGCACCGGCUAACUACGU
rnacentral:rRNA from 1 species